GUCCACGCCGUAAACGAUGGAUACUAGCUGUUGGGAGCAAUCUCAGUGGCUAAGCGAAAGUGAUAAGUAUCCCACCUGGGGAGUACGUUCGCAAGAAUGAAACUCAAAGGAAUUGACGGGGCCCGCACAAGCGGUGGAGCAUGUGGUUUAAUUCGAUGAUACGCGAGGAACCUUACCAAGGCUUAAAUGUAGAUUGACCGGUUUGGAAACAGAUCUUUCGCAAGACAAUUUACAAGGUGCUGCAUGGUUGUCGU
rnacentral:rRNA from 1 species